CCCCAGAUGUUGCUGAACUACAACUCCCAUGAUUCUCUGGCUCUCUGUUUCAUUGAAAGAAUCAUGGGAGUUGUAGUUCAGCAACAUCUAGAG